GGGCGAGUGGUGGAACUGGUAGACACGCUAGGUUCAGGGUCUAGUGCUCGCAGGAGCAUGGGGGUUCAAAUCCCCCCUCGCCCACCA
rnacentral:tRNA from 1 species